rnacentral:snRNA from 1 species
GUUUCUGUUCUAAUCAGUGUAAAAACUGGUUUUCGCCUUUUGGGGGACUUUUUCACUCGCAUUUUUGGGCACUCUGCCACGACCAGUUUGCUAGCGGCGGACGAGCGGUCUCCGGGGGCGUACACCUUUCCCCCGCGAGGCCA